rnacentral:lncRNA from 1 species
CUCUUCCGAGCUAUAUAACAGAAAGCUCAUGUGAGCUAAAUAACAGGAAGAUCAUGCGAGCUGUAUAUCGGGAAGCUCAUAAGAGCUGAAAUCGGGAAGCUCAUGCGAGCUAAAUAUUGGGAAGCUCUUAAAAGCUGUGGUGUGUUCGCAACAUGCAAGACUACAACCAAAACGGUAACCCUAAUGACAUGUCAUUUGUAUCCUUCGAAUUUCUAAGGUUCAAACGGGACUAAAAAAUUAUCAGAUAUGUGAUCAGUAAUUAUACAUGGAAAUUGUCCAAAUCACACACAAUAAUAUUCAAUUUUAAAACAUAUAAAUGUACAAUUUAGUUACACGAACUUACCUCGACAAGUGUAUGUAGAUACGAAGGCUACUAAUCUGUUACUUUUCCUUUGCCUCAAUCUAACUCCAUACUAGGUCUAUCUGGAUCUAGAUCAGUAAAAAUAAGCUUGCUAACUUCAAGCUUCCAUGGUUAGGGUUUCCAUCUUUUUUAUUUAUUUAUUUUAUUUGGUAAAAGAUGAUGAUAUUAGAUUAUUUUAUUUAUUUAUCAUAAUUUAUCAUUUCUUUUUCCAAAAUUAACCUUAAUAAUUUAUUAAAUUUCCAAUGAUGAAUAAUCAUUCUUAUCCACUAACUACUCUAAAUGGUCUAUUUACUAUAUAAGGACCUCCAUUUUAAAAUUCCAUAGUUAUUUAAUACCUUUAGCUAUUAGAAUUUAAUAUUUGCACUUUAUGCAAUUUAGUCCUUUUUUAUCAUAUUAGACAUGUAAACGGUAAAAUUUCUUAACAAAAUUUUUAUACGAUAUUUCUAUCAUACUAUAGACCAUAAAAUAAUAUUAAAAUAAAUUUUCUUCCGACCUCGAAUUUGUGGUCCCAAAGCCACUGUUCCGAUUUCACAGAAAACGGGCUGUUACAAAAACAAUCCAAUCGACAGCUUAUAUCUGACGAUUUACAAGGAAGAAAAAUCAAAACGAGGUAAACUUGCUUAAAAUGUAGUAAGUUCAUAUUGAACGCAAACAUUAACUUACUGUAAAGGACUUAACUUAACCUUUCACAAUAAAAAUCAUAACCAAGGUUAUGAAUUUAUUUAAUUGCCUAUACAUAUCACAAGUCUCACUAGGAUAGUAAAUUCACAUAUAUGAUGACAUGUAACUUCUUCAUGUCAUAAAGCAUAUACAAGUAAACACAUUUGAUAUAGCAUUCAUCCAUCAUCUAUUCAUUUAACAUUUAACAUUCUCCUUUUAAGUUUUCAUUUCAAAUGUCACUUUUUACAUAUUUAUAUCCAUAUAAACAUUUCAUAUAAACAUUUCAUAUAACUAUUUCCAUAUAGCCGAAUCAUAUAAACAUUUCAUAUAUUUAUUUCCAUACAAUCAAUUCACAUAACCAUUCCAUAUAUCUAUUUCCAUAUAAUCAUUUCGUAUAUAUGUUUCCAUAUAAUCAAUUCAUAUAACCAUUUCAAAUAUUCAUUUUUCCACCCGAUGAACCACAAUGAAAUAAUAUUGGUUACAUGAGAAUAAAGCUCACACUAGUUGUGACUGUAAUUGUAUGUGUUCACACGAGCUAUAGGUCGAGAUGUUAAACUAUUCCCAUAUAGCUAUUUCCAUAUAGCCAAAUCAUAUAAACAUUUCAUAUAUUUAUUUCCAUACAAUCAAUUCAUAUAACCAUUCCAUAUAUCUAUUUCCAUAUAAUCAAUUCAUAUAACCAUUUCGUGUAUAUGUUUCCAUAUAAUAAAUUCAUAUAACCAUUUCAAAUAUUCAUUUUUCCACCCAAUGAACCACAAUGAAAUAACAUUGGUUACAUGGGAAUAAUGCUCACACAAGCUGUGACUAUUAACUGUAUAUGCUCACAUGAUCUAUGGGUCGGGAUGUUAAACUACACGAUGUUGCUCACACGAGUUGUGGAGAAUCCGCAACAAAUGCAGGACCUCAGCCAUCGGUAGGACAUCCAAGACCAGCACCCGAAAUGGUAAAUAACCCUAAUGACAUGUCAUUUGUAUCCUAAGCAUUCACGAGGUUCAUACGGGCCGUGAUUCACAUUCAUAUCAUAUAAAUGAUUAAGCAUUUCUUUGUCACAUGAAUUCAACUAUAUAUUUUCUCCACUUUCAAUCAUGAUCCUCAAUUAUAAUUUUAUUUCAAUUUAAACCAUUAAUUCAAUCACAAGCAUAGAAAAAUUAUAUUAUAUUACACAAACAUAAAUUAACUCAAUUUAUAUGCUAUACAAAUUUAUCUAAACUAAUUCUGCAGCAAACACGACUCCAAGGACUAAUCAAUAAUUUUUCCUUUUCCGUAUUUGUCUACCGAUUGAUCCUUUUCUUGAUUUAUAUAUAAUAAUUUAAUUCAAUUAUCCAAUUCAAAUACUUUUAAAUACUAAACUUGGCAUAAUUGACCCUUUGAUCAAUAAUUUAUACUUUUACCCUAAAAUUUUACCUUUUAUUCAAUUUAGUCCCUAAACCCGAAACUUUCAAAUUUAUCACAAUUUCACCAAUUUCAUGCCAGCCAAAUUUUCCCUCAUGUCAUUACAACCCAUAAUUAUUAAAAUAUUACAAGAAUUUCAUGCCAAGUUUAUUAUUUUAUCAAUUUAGUCCUUAAACUUAAAACUAACAAAAAUCACUUUACUAAAUAGUCCUAUUUAACUAUUAAGCUUAAUAAUCCAUCAUCAAAAUUCAAAAAAAAUCACAAAUUCAUCUAUUUCAUAAUUCAAAACAUUCAACAGUUUUAUGAAUUAGUCCCGCAAUUGACUAGAUUAAGCUACAACUAUCUCAAAACAUAAAAUUUAUAAUUAAAAAAGGGGUUUAAAAUUCAUACCAUGCAAGGACUGAUUUCUUCCAAAAUUUUGAAGCUUUUUCCUCUCAUUAAGAAUGGCAUUCAAACAGUGGAGGAAGAUGAGAAUGAACCAUUCUCUUUCCAUCCAUUUUUGUUCUUUUAAAUUACUUAUUAAUUCUUUAAUAUUUUUAUUACAAAUUUAACAUGUUUUUAUAAUUAAAAUCAGAUGUUUAAACCAUAUAAAUUUAAUACUAGAGUCUAAUUACCUUGUUAAUCCUUCCACUUUAACCAUUUAAGCCAUUUAAUUAAUAAAAAUCAAUAGCAAUUAACUUUUAGAUCUUUUAUGAUUUAGUCCUUUUUCCUUAAUUAACCUAUCAAACAUCAAAAUUUUCGGACCAAAAUUAAAUACACCUAUAUAGUAACUCCAAUUAACUUUAGGGACCUCAUUUUCAAAAACCACUUAACAUUAAGGACAACCACUUGAACUUAGCUAUUUGUUCAAUUUGCAAAAAUUAUUAAACCAAAAUAUAAUAUAAUAUUAUAAUUGACUCGUAAAUAUUAAAUAAUAAUAUUUACAAACUCACAUGUCAGAUUUGUGGUUCCAAAACCAUUGUUUCUAACACCACUGGAAAAACGGGUUGUUACAACAGUCCCCAACAACGGCGCCAAAAACCUGGAACAACAGAAAUGUGCAAGUGUACACAAUCGUAUCAAGUAACAAAGUGAAAAGUAUCGAGUAUCGUCUCUAUAGGGACUAUUUAGGAAAAAAUUUACGAAUAAAGACUUUAGCUAAUUGGUGGUGGAAAAUAAUAUUUUUAAGAGUAAGAUAAGAUUAACUAAAUUAAUCACACUAAUAAAUACCUAAGUAUGCAAUUAAAAUGAUCAUAGAAAAUUUAUGCGAAUCUUAAGAGUUUAUCACAAUGGCAUGCUUGUGUCAGAACGAUAAUCUAGGAUAAGAUGUUAUGGAAUUCCAUGGAUAAAUUGAUCAUAUAUUAACCCUAACUGAAUUUAGUAAAAUAUUUAACUUAUUACUAAACCUAUUUCAUAUAUUUCUAUGUUCAAUAGACUCAAAAUUUCAUAAGCAAAACAUAUUAUAGAGUUAUGUAAGGUAAUAAUAGCUUUGGUAUUAUUAUAGAUUUAAUCUCUACAUGAUUAAACAUUACACCAUACAAGUAGUUUGUCAAUUAAUUAAAACCUUUCAUAAAUCUCGUCACAUUAAACAUGCAUAAGAAAAUUAAUAGUUUGUUCAAUUCAUAAACAAGUAGCUUGCUCCCUCCUUGGAUCUUCUGUCUUGUCGUCACAACUAAGCCAAGCACCCUCAAUAUAGCUGAAUUAUGGUUGCUUUCAAGGCCACACAAAACUAUUUCUCAAGAGGAAGAAAAAGGGUAUGGAAAAGAGAGAAAAAGAAGCUCAAAUAGAGAGGAAAUGAAGAGAGAAAUGAAGAAUGAAUGGGAUAAUGUAAUGAGGGGGUGAGGGAUGAUAUUUAUACAUGAAGAGGGUACCCUGCAUUUACUAAAAAUAGCAGUCAAUCCCCCCUUCCCAUGGUCGGCCCUUGAUAGUAAGGAGAGGGGUUGGGAUGGCUUUGCCAUAAUUAGUUAGGUGCUUGAAUGUGAAAGUUUAAGAAGUUGAGGGGUUGGAACGGGUAAGAGGAAAAAGUUUAAGCUUGUUUUGCAAUUAUUAAAAUCAGCUUAAAAUAGCUUAUUUGGGCAGCAACUUAGGUCGGCUUAGGCUGUUCUCUCUCUUAUGGAUUAGUCCCCUUCAAGUUGAAUUUUUUAGGCCCUUUUUCCUUACAUAAAGCUGUCCAAUUAAAUCACCAUAAUUGAGAACCGGGCCAAUUGCAUUGUAGGGGUUCAAAAUCAAUUUUUUUGGGCAUCCAUGGUUGCUAAUUAAUCAGUUAAAACUUCGAAAAUGCCCUAGCAAUUAAAUCUUCCAAAGGUGACUUCCAAGCUGAUUUUGCUCUCAUUGUGCAAAGUUCCUCAAAAUUGACAGAAUUACAAAAAUUUAAUAUCAAAAUAACUAAAUUUCAAGAUGUGUCUUAAAUCAUGUUCAAUUUAAUUAUUUUAUAAUGAAAGCACAAAAUUAGAUAGAAAAUACUUGAAAUUUGCAUGAAUUAAUGUUCAGAAGGUGCUAAAAAAGUCUAUAUAUUUCAGUAUUUCCAAUAAUACUCAGAAAGUGUCAUCCAACCUUGAUUAACAAAAGUACAAUCAAAUCUUUCCAAAACAAAAGCCUCAGUACCCUAACAAUGCUAGCACACAUAGUGCAUCAAGCAAUCAUACUAGCACGCAUAGUACAUUAUCACAUAAAUCGAAACAAAUACAUUGACACAAAUAAUGUAUCAUAGGAUAAACUAAAGCAAAAAUUCUGGCACACGUAGUGCGUCAUCAGUUAAACCGAAGUAUAUAUCCAUACAAUUAAUAAGGUAACCAAUUUCCAAUUUCAUCACAUAGUUCAGUUCACGUUCCAUCAUUCUCAAUUCACUAUUCCAAUACAACAUAUAACAUGUUUUAACUCAAUUUCAUCCAGGUACCACAUAUCAAUUAAAUCAUACUACUUUUUAUUUUAUUCAAUUUAGUUCUCUAUCUCGAUAUACCACAUCAAUCAACACAAUUUAACUCGUACUAGUAUUAUAUACUCACCUCAUUACUAAUUUAUGCAAUUUAACAUAAUAUGCAAUAAUUAGAUUGAUCUCGGAUCAUAGAAUUAUAAAUCGAAUGCUCACCUUUCCUUUCAUUCUAGACGACCUGACGUCAUCUUUAACUAUGAAUAAUAAUUCAACAAUGAAAAAUAUCAAAUUCUAUAUCAAAUCACAUUCAAAUACAAAGUCAUACAUAUUUUUUAAUUUAUUCAAUUUAGUCCCUAAACCUGAGACAAGCAUAACUUUCGAUCUAGGGCUUCGAAUUAAAAUUCGUUUUCACAUAUACUCAUUAGUGACAUCCUACUUUCCAUUAUUAUCGAAAUUUUAUAAUAUUUUUAUAUUUUAUUCAAUUUGGUCCCUAAUAUACGAAACCAAUAAUUAAGCUUUACAAUUUAGUCAUUUUCAUAAACUAAGCUUAUUUCUAUCAAUUUCACACCUAUUUGUUCAAGAAGUAAACGAUGGAAACUUUCUAAAAUGUUAACAAUUUCACAAAUUGGUACAUAGGCUAGCUAAAUUAAGCUCUUAUGACCCAAAAUUCAUAAAAAUUACAAGAAAAAUGAUUUAAUUUUCCUUAACUAUUGAUGGACGAAUAUAAAGACAUGAAAAUGACUUCCUUCCUUAGGUUUCUUUUUAGACGGCAAGAAAUGAGAAUGAGUAAGAUAACACUUUCAUCUCCACUAACUUAAGUUUAUAUACCUUAAUUAUAAAUUAAUUAAUCUAACUUAAUUAGCCUAAUUAGGUGUUAAUAAUUUUAAUUAGUAUUUUAAUUAAACUAAGUGGCCAACAUCAUCAAUGUCCACUACCUUAUAAUAGUAAUUGGUUUAUUUACCAUUUUAUACCUUUGGCUAAUUGUUAUUUAAGUCCCCGAGCCUUUUGACAAUUAAAACUCUAUAACGAUUGAACUUUUACAAUUUAAUCUCUAGGCCUUAAUUAACUAUUAAUUCAAGAAAAUUAUUUGACCAAUUAUUAAUAUAUUUUUAUGCUAACUUCAUAAAUAUCUGUAUUUAACAUUUACGGACUCAAUCUUUUAGAAAUAAUGUCCUGAAACCGCAAUUUUUGACACUACUAAAAAUUGGGUCGUUACAGAAAUAAUGUCUAAGACUUGAGAAGACGAAGGGAAGGUUUGGAUUGAGAUUAUUUAUAUUAUGUCAAAUAAAUAAUUAUUAUAAAUUUGCGUUCAAGGAGAAAAGUAAAAAAUUUAAGAUUUCAAAUAAAUUUAUUAUAUCAUUCUUAUAAUUUUUACAAAUAUUAUAAAAUUUUUAUACAUUUUAAAUUUUUAACAUUUUUAUAUUUUUUAACAAUUUUUUUUAAUUCUUGUUCCUUUUUGGCAAUUUUUUAGAAUUAGGACUAAAUUGAUAGAAUGUGUAUAUACUGAAGGUUAAAUUUAUUAUUAGACUAAUAAAAAAGCUCAUAUUAGACUUUUGUUACUGACUUAAUAAUAAGUAAUUAAAAAAUAUAAUUUCAAAAAAUUUAGUGACUAAAUUAAAAUAAAUAUUAUAAUUGAAUAAUCAAAACAAAAAUUGAAUAUUUAUAUAGUUUACCCAAUAAUUAAUACAUGACAUUAUAUGGAACCCAUGUAAUUAACCUAAAAACUAUAUAGAGAAUAAAGAAAAUAUCAAAUAUCAUUUAUGGUAACUCUUUAGAAUUUGAGUUUCUUUAAUAUCAUGAUUACCUCAUUCAAAUUAAAAUACUGUAAUUUAUAUAAAAAUAAUUGAAUAUCUAUACCAUUAAUUAAGUGUGUGAUUGACAAUAGUUUGGUCAAUGAAAUUAUAAAAAUAAUUUUAUAUAUUUUAAAUAAGUUAUUUUAUUACGAAUGUACUUUUGUCUUUUCACUAUUUAAAAAAAUUAUAAAUAUUAAUAUUUGAAUCCAUGCUAUCAAUAUCUAUAAGGUAAACUACACCUAAGGUCAUUAAAUUAUUAGUAAGUUUGCGUUUUAGUCACUCAACUAUUCUUUAAGUUUUCAUUUAAGUCCUUGAACUAUUUGAGAGUUUUUAUUUAAGUCAUUGAGUUUUUUUUUUUUGAAGUCUGUCUAGCGAGCUCCAAGCUACCAUUCAAAGAUCGAUUUAAUAGAUUAGUACUCAUCGGCGAGUAGAAGAACAUACCUUAGGUCCAAGUCGAUCUAACAGUCAAUAUCGGAGAUCGGAGAAGAAGGUUGUUUGGAUUUAGAUUUACAAAUUUGUGACGUUCAAAGUUGAUUCAUAAAAAAAAUGAACUCUAGAAGAAAAAGGGAAUGAAAGCUUUCAAUUAGUGCAAGUUGUGCAAAUAAAGAAAGUCAUACAACAACGGUUUUAACAACCCAAUUAUUUAAAUGAAAACUUUUUAAAUAGUUCAGUGACCAUUUUGUCACUUUUUGAAGUUGAGUGACCAAAAUGUAAACUUACUAAUAAUUUAGUGACCUUAGAUGUAAUUUACCAAUAUUUAUAAAAUCUUUUAUUUUUUACUGUUUCAACCACAAUUUUAUUUUAAUAUUUGUAUACAUUUCAAAUUUGUUACACAAAUUGUUUAUCUAUAUUGUUUGUAUAUUUUGAUAAUGUUGUACAGGCCCUAUUCUGCCCGGGCCCGAACUAAAAAAUAACCCAAUUUUUAAAAUAAGUAAACAACCCAAAAAAAUAAACUACCAACCCAAAUUGCAACCCAAAUUACAAACCCAUUACCCAAGGCCCAAUAAGCCCAAAACCUUAACUAGUUUCAGUAAAAAAUUGAAACCCUAACCCUAAUGCGCCAUUCCUUCUGCUGCCCACGUGCCUCCGCAGCGCGUCCAUCGCCCGAGGCCUGGCCCCCUUGCACCAAAAUGGUAGGUUUCCCUUCCGUUGAUCGCCAGCGCUUGCAAAAAGACCAAAAGAAUACCUGCAAACAAAGCAAAGAAAGGAGAACAAACAGUAGCAGAGAAGCAGUAAUAAAAAUAAUGUAUCCGUGGCUAUAAAGGCCACGAAAACAUAUUGUAAAAGCCCCCUUUUUUUGAGAAAAAAAUCGAAUACAAAAAAAAAGAUUGAAUACAAAAAAAAAUCAAAGAUUUGAACUUAUAGUUUUAAGAAGGUGAUAUUCGUUUGAUAUUUUUGUUUACUUUUUUUUACGUUUAAGUUUUAUUAUAUAUUUUUUAUUUAUUUUAUCUACGAAAAUAAAAAGGAGAAGGGUUCACUUGAAUCGGCCAGCGGUCUCACCGUCGGUGGUUCUUUCGCCGUCGUCGGAUUCUGGCGCAAAAGGGGUGUGAAAGGUCCCUUCUUCCUCGGCCUUUUGGGUCAAGAAAACUGGGCAUCCGAACGGGAUCUGAAACGGGAUUAAAAAACUCGAUCCUCGCGUCGCUCCGGCCACCGCCUACGGCGGAGCCACGGCGGUGCUACGGUGACUGAUGGCCGGAACCUGAUUAGCGUCCAGAGAGAGGGCAAAAGAGACAGAGAGUUUUCCAAUUUUUUUUCUUUUUAAAAAACUGAUGAAAUUAUAUUUUUGGGUCAAAUUUUUGUUAUUUAUAUAGGGUCCAUACGACGUCGUUUUGGUCCUAAACUUCGGGCACCAAAACGGCGUCGUUUUAAUAUUACCCGAUAACUCGACUUCUCGGCCAAGGUCCGUGUGUUUUCGUGCCUAAUGGGCUAUUGGCUGACCAGGUCCUUCCGCUUUCUAUUUACUUUUUAAUCCAGUCCUAUCUAUUUUUAUCUAUUUUUACAUUUUACCCUAUAACUUUGUUUCAAUUUCUUUUAACCCACCUGAGAAACGACCCGCAUAAAGACAAGGGAUAUUUUUCCCUUUCAAUCCCUAAUAUUUUUAGUGCUGUGCAUUUUGAUCCUUGCCAGCCUAUUUUUAUUUACAAUUUGUACCCUUUAAUUUCAUUUAAAUUUUAAUUGAAUCCUUUAUUUAUAUAAUUUCGCCUUGUAUUAAAUUUUUUUUAUUAUUUUUAUUAUUUGUUUAUUUACCUAUUUAUUAUUAUCGCCUUGUUUUAUUUAAAUUCAUAUUAUAUAUUCAUUUACUUUUAUUAUUUACUUUUUAAAUACUUAAAGUUGAUCUUAUUUAUAUUAGCUCUAUCUAUUUAUCUAUUUACUUAUUAUUCUAUUACCUUUUAAAUGCUUAAAUUGAAUAUUAUUUAUAUGUGUUUUACUCUCCUUCUUUCUUCUUCUUCUUUUUUCUUACCUUUUAAACGUUUAAAUUUGAUGUUAUUUAUUAUUUAUUUUAUAUAUUUAUUUAUUAUUCUUUCACUUCUUUUUAAUAUUUUAAUUUGAUACCAUUUGUUCUCCAUUUCCAUUAAGCACUUUUAUUUUCAUUUAUUAUUAUUAUUUUAUUUUGGGUCACUUUAUUUACUUUUUUAUUAAUGCCACAAAUUAAAUUAUUGAUUAUUGCCAUUGCCAUUGCCAUUGCCAUUGUUUAUUUUAUUUUUGAUGGUUCAUAUUAACGUUGAAAUAGUGUACGUUAUAUGAUUCUCGUAAAUUAUUUUUAUUAUUUUCAUUAUUGUCAUUUAUUAAUGUGAUAUUUAUUCAUAUAUCAAUUUUAAUUUUUACCUUAAUUUGUAAAAAGAAAAUUUUGAAAAUAAAGGCAAUAUUCAGUAUUUGAAAAUUCGGGAAGUCGUGCCCUAAUUUAUUGGGUUUCGAUUUUUCUCGCAUUGAACCUAAAUAACCGAAUAUCCUUUUUUAAAAUUAAAAUAAAUGAGGUUUAAAUAAAAAUAAAAGUUUGACUUAUUCUCAAAAAUACGAGGUGUCAUGUCCUAACUUACGAGAUGAGACAUUUUGUUAAUUUGAGAUAAUGAUGCAUUUUACACAUUUUGACUUAUUCGAAUAAUUUUAAUAACACGAUAUAAAGAGGGAUCGUGUUUUAAAUUCUUUUCGAGUUUUCAAUUUUCGACACCAAGACAUUAAGUAAUCAACUAGGUACCAAUUUUGGGCGCAUUGAGGGUGCUAAUCCUUCCUCGUGCGUAACCGACUCCCGAACCCGUCUUUCUGAAUUUCGUGGACCAAAAUUGUUGUUUUAAUAAAUCAAGUCGUUUAUUAAAAAUAACCACUUUUCGAGGUGACCCGAUCACACCUCAUCAAAAAAGAUUGGUGGCGACUCCCGUGUUCGUUUUCAUUUUCAAAAUAAAAGUCGACUUCGUUUUCACAAAAAAAAUGGUGUCAACAAAUGUCAUUACUUGAGUUGGUGUCACAAGUCUACUCAAUAUCAACUCAAGCAAAAUAAAUAUUAUAAUAAAUAAUUGCAAUGCAUUUAAUAUUCUUAAUUUGAUGUAUUUACUUAUUUACAUAUCUUUUUACUCAAAAGUUAAAUUAUUUUUUAUUUUAAUUUCGUAUUAUUGCAUAUGUAUUAUUUUUUAAGUCAAAUCUUCAUUAAGGAGAAAAUGAAAUAAGAUGCAACAAAAACAAAUAGAAAAGGUAAACUAAACCUAAGUCAUCAUCAGGCUUAUUCUAUACACCCGAGCCUAAACCCCUCCAUAACAGGAUUAUGCGCACCCUCUGUAAAACAUCGAAAACACAUGCUGGAAUAGAAACAUAAACAGAUGGAUUCACAUGAGAUAAGGCUGCCCGUGCAAGCUUAUGAGCGGCCUUCUUGGCAGAUUAUCGAACCCAACAAAAUGUGAGAUGUUGAAAUUGUGUCUGCAACAAGCGACGGUCUUUCAAAUGAAACUAAACUAUUUUAAACUUGAUAUGUUAUUUUUAAACACAGUUAAUUGCUAAAUAGUUAUUUCCACGCACAUGUGUUAAAACCUUUAGUAUUAAUAAUAAUUAUAUAAGUGAUAAAAUCUUGACGUAGGCCAUGAAUUAAGGGAAAAAAUGUCUAGCUGUAUGUAUGAGAAUAAUAGCAGGCAGCAGAUUAUUCUACCAUGUAAAGUUUUAACUGACUUCCUAUUCCUCUACUGACUCUGAGAGAUAAAAGGCUGCAAAUAUGUCUAUUUUUUUGGUCAUUUAUUUUCUGCCAUUCACUUGAUUCCUUCUACCUUCAAUUAUCAUUUCUUCAUUUUCAUUUCCCUUUUUAUCCCAAACAAAAUCUUCCCCCGACAUGCUUUGAUUUUUGCAUUUUUUUCGUUCUUAAAUUCUUUUUCCUUUUUGCAUGUCAUUAUCUGAAUAGCAUUUUUAAUGCAAAGUUUCAGAGUUUCUGUUUUUGCAUGAUUGAUUUUCUUAUUAUUGGAACAAAAAUGGCAGUAGAACUUUGCUCAGACAAUUGUGGCAUCAGUCCAAGGAUUUCAUUUUCUCUUGAUCUUUGUCAUUUCGAUGAUGUCCCUGUUGAACAACGCCCUUUCCGUUCUAAGCCUUCUUCCUUGAAUUCAAGCGUUGAUUUUGAUUUCGGCGUUGGUGAAACCUUCGAACAAGAAGCGCCCUCCGCCGAUGAACUUUUCUCCGACGGUAAAAUCCUUCCCACUGACAUCAAGAAGAGCAACCCCUCUAAACAAACUGACCACUCUUCUUCACCACCACCGCCGCCAUUGCCACCUCAGAAAGCAGCAGAAAGCUCGAAAGAAGAAGAGAAGCAAAGUUCAAAGUCAACUUCAUUUUGGGGUUUCAAAAGGAGUAGUAGCUUCAGCUGUGGGAGUGGUUAUGGCAGAAGCUUAUGUCCUUUACCACUUUUGUCAAGAAGCAAUUCAACUGGUUCUACACCAAAUGUUAAACACCCUUCGCCCAAUAACCCUAAACACAUCCAUUCACAUAAACAUGCUGCUGCUAAUGCUAUUACUAAUCCAUCUUUCAAGUUUUCCACAAGUUAUCAUCAAAAGCCUCCACUGAAGAAGACUGCUUAUAAGCCUUAUUAUGGUAAUGGUGUUCAUCCUGUUCUCAAUGUUCCUUCUGGUAAUUUGUUCGGUUUAGGUUCGAUCUUCUUCAAUGGCAACAAAGCUAAGAACAGCUGCAAGAGGAAAUGAUAUGAUCCAUACAUGGAUUUGAUCCUUGUUAAUUACCCAUUUGAGAGAAAAAAAUGCAAAUAGAGAUUGGGGUUAAGAAGACAACAAAAGAAGAUGGAAAUGUCAAUUGGGGGGGGGGGGGGGCAGGGACCAGGGGGUGGAAAGAUAUAAUUCAUGGAACCUGCUUUGGGAAAACAAAAUGACAGGUACCACUGCUUUCAUGGUUGUCACAUGUUGGUUUUUUCUUUCUCUUUUUUCUAUAAUUUCCUUUUUCCCAUUAACUUUUUUCCAUGAUGUGUUUCUCAAGAUUAUUAGACCUCAUUUUGUUUCUCUUUAGCGCAAGUGCAAGUUUGUUGAUGACUGCUAUCCUGGAAAUGCUUCUUGAUUUUGGGUAUAUGUAUAUUUACUUACUGCUGGACAAUAAUGUAACUCAUAUGUUUUACUUAUAAUUUCCAAUUAAUUUUAGAUAAGCUGUUUGAUAGUUUAUUAUGUGAAUUAAGAUUUGUUUGUAAUGUAAGCUUUUUCAGACAUCAAUAGUUAUGUUUUAAUUCAUCAGUUGGUAUAUACGAAAAAGAUAUAAUUGAGCAUCUGUGUUGGCAAGCCAAAUCAUUGAUCAAAAUGGUUGGUUCUUUUUUAAAUGUUGUGUAAAUAAUUUACUUGUAAGAAGCCAAAAGACAUACUCAAAUGUACACCUAAGCUUGCCUUUGGUUAGGUGGCAGCACUCGCAUUACUUUUUAAUUGCCUUUCGUCACCUUAUCAUAUUCCAUAUGCCUAAGUAAAAAUAAAAUGAAAAAAAUCGAAGAUAUAUGGGAAAAAGAAAAACACCACCACAAAUCCAAGAGAAAAAUUAGAAAUAGAAAAACAGAGAAUCAGUUUAUAGAGCCGCACUGGAAUUUAAAAAAAAAAUUAAUUAUCAACGGGUUUACGAAGUCAUCACGUCUUUUGGUUAAUUAAAAUAUAAUUUUAAAACAUUUGAAUUUUUUUUAAUUCCGAUUAUGAUUUUUUAAUUACAGUGUACAAAAUAAUUAUCAUAGACUAUAUAUGUUAAUUAUAAAUUGGGCUUCCAUAAUGAACUUAAUUCAAGUCCAAAUAGUUAGGCCGAAAAUGUCCAAAUAGCAUAACCCAAAAACUAAAAGUACUAUAUAAGUUUGAGCUUUGAGAUAUCAUCUCAAAUAUUAAUUAAUUUUCAAAUCAUAUAAAAAAUAUUGAAAAUAAAGGGAAAAAAAAAAACAAAAAAUGGUGUUGCAUGAUGAACAAGAGGCGUAGGCGAAGCGGCCCUCACGUGUGUCCACGUCAUUUCCAACGCAUUGCAAAUCUAAUCCAAAAUCUCAACGUUUUCAUUUUAUUUUCAUUUUCCUUAUUUUUUAUAAAAUAAUAAUAUUUACUCAUUUUCUGGAUCGAAUCUCAACUUUUCUUAUUUGAGUAUAAUUUACUUCACAAUCAAUUUAUUCAUCACAUUUUGAAUUUGAUUAGAUAUGAAAUAAUUUAAAUUUUGUUUCUUUUACUAUUUAAUAUGCUUUAUACUAAAUUAUAUACAUGCAUCAUAAAUCAUUUUUAUAUAUUUAUAUUUAAAAUACAAUGUAAUAUUUAUUGAAUAUAAUUAAUAAGUUUAACAUUUAUUUAUAUUUACAAGUAUAUAAUAUUUUUAUUAAAAAUUCAUAAUUUAAUAUAAGCCAAAACAAAUACAUAAACUUUAGUUUUCCUUUUUACCGAAAUAAACAUAAAUUCUAAAUGGGAUGAAAUAUGAUAGAAGAUAAUAUUUUAAGAUUAAAAUCAAUUUAUAAAGAUAAAAGAAAAGAGUAUAAUUUACUAUUUGAAUAGAAUAAUUACAUACUUUGAUCCACUCGGUUGAUAAACUUAAAACAACGCAAAUCUUUGUCAUUAUUAUAUUAAUAAUGGGUCAUUUGGCUUACCAAGUUUGUACAGAAAAUGAAAUUACAAGAGGAUAAUUCAUUGAUGGAUUGAUAUCUCCACCAAGUUUGUUCUUUUGUUGCUAAGCUUUUACUGAGCAUAACAAACAGUAACUCCAUUGCUGCUCUCUCUCAACAGAUUUUCCGAGGCUGCUGUCGUCUUCCAAACAGAAGUCAGAUUCCGAUUCGUCCUCUCACUCACUCUCAGCUCCGCCUUCCGAUUUGGUAAAUCCAUCUCUCACUUCUCACUCACUGAUUCCGCUUUCCAAAUGCGCUUCCGUUUUGAUCCUUUUUUUAUUUUUUUUUCUUUUUUGAUUGGUCGGUUACUUAUUUAUUUUGUGAAUCAGGUAAUUUAUGAUGCAGGCGUCAACGCAUUUAGUCAGAGGGAAUUUCGGCAUUGAGAUUUCGAAACGGAGAGUAUUCCUUUGCUUUGGUGAAGUUAAGCAACGGAGUUUAACUUUGAAUCGCAAUUUUUGCAUCCGAAGUGGUUCCACCUGCAGCGGUUCAAGAUCAGGUGACGUUUCGAUGGGAGCUGGGCUUGUACGUGCCAAAAAUGGUAUCGAAAUUGCCGUUCGCCCUUCGGUCAAAACUCGAUCGAUCAAAGCUCAAGCCUCUGGUCUCUUUCUCUUUCUCGUUUUCCUUUUCCUUUCACUUUUAAGCUGUGUGUCGUGGUUGAAUCUGUUUAUUGAAUUUAUGUUGAAUUUUUAGGUGAGGAAAAUUGCUUAAUGAAAGAAUUGCAUGUUAGUGAAAUCGAUUUUUUGUUUGGCUAGUGAUAUAGAAUGGCGCGAUUUGUUGCUGUUGUUAAUUAUCCGCUGCUCUUUUCUUUUUUCUUUUUUUUUUCCUUUAACAAAAAGUUAUUAAUCAAAUGUUUCAUAAUUUUUAUUGUAUGGUAAAACUUUGGAGGCAUUGGAUUGAUAUGUCAAUUGUGGAUAUGAUACACGAAAACAGUAAAUAUAAGGAAAUGGAACAUGAAAAAAAAACAUGAAUUCGACAUGGAUAAGGAGCAUCUCAUAUGUAACUCAUAUUAGUAUCAUAUUUAUAUAAUUCAAAUACGACCAUGAAAUUGAAAGAAAAAACAUGAACAAUAUGUGUAUAUGAAUUGUUAAAUCUACAUCGGGAAUUAUAAGGAGCAUCACGUAAAGGAAUGAAUCAUUAGGUGCUGUUUUGUUGUUAAUUGUGCUGCCUG